GAGGAAUAUUGGUCAAUGGGCGAGAGCCUGAACCAGCCAAGUCGCGUGAAGGAAGACUGCCUUAUGGGUUGUAAACUUCUUUUAUACAGGAAUAAAAAGGGGCACGUGUGCCUUAUUGCAUGUACUGUAUGAAUAAGCAUCGGCUAACUCCGUGCCAGCAGCCGCGGUAAUACGGAGGAUGCGAGCGUUAUCCGGAUUUAUUGGGUUUAAAGGGUGCGCAGGCGGGAAUUUAAGUCAGCGGUGAAAUCUGGUCGCUUAACGAUCACACUGCCGUUGAAACUGGGUUUCUUGAGUAUGGAUGAAGUAGGCGGAAUUCGUUGUGUAGCGGUGACAUGCAUAGAUAUAACGAGGAACUCCGAUUGCGUAGGCAGCUUACUAAGCCAUAACUGACGCUCAAGCACGAAAGCGUGGGGAUCAAAC
rnacentral:rRNA from 1 species